rnacentral:rRNA from 1 species
UACAGAGGUCUCAAGCGUUGUUCGGAUUCAUUGGGCGUAAAGGGUGCGUAGGCGGCGCGGUAAGUCGGGGUGUGAAAUCUCGGAGCUUAAACUCCGAAACUGCAUUCGAUACUGCCGUGCUUGAGGACUGGAGAGGAGACUGGAAUUUACGGUGUAGCGGUGAAAUGCGCAGAUAUCAGGAGGAACACCGGUGGCGAAGGCGGUUCUCUGGGCAUGUCCUGACGCUGAGGAGCGAAAGUGUGGGGAGCAAACAGG